GGAGUUGGCCACGGGUGGGAAGGGGCUUCUGCGUGUUUUGGCCCCAGAGUCUGUGCUUGUGUUUCCCUGACGUUUCCGCUGCCGCCAGUUUAUUCUCCCACUCCCUUGUUAGACGUCCCAGACUGUUGUUCCCAAAGCAAAAGAGGUCCCUGUUCCUUUCUCAGAGGCUUGUUCAGGCUCAGUCCCGAAAGCCAGGUGCUGUGCUAGAUGCUGGGGCUUCAGCAGGCCCUGCCCUCUCGGAGGGGGCUUCCUCCCGAGGCUUUGAAGCCUGCCAGCUGGUGGGUGUGUAUUUUGUCUGGUGCCCGAUGCCCUCUGUGACCAGCUCUGUGCUGGGGGGUGAGCGGCUGCACCUCGGGGUCAUGGGCCUCAUCCUUGUCUUCUAGUGACUCUGCCACCGCGCUCUCCUUUUGAUGCACUGGGCGGGGGCGUCAUGGACGUGGAUGCUGAGAGAGAAAGGAUCUCCAGGGAGAUCCAGCAGCUGGAGAGGAUCCUGGACCCCUGCUGCUCGAGCCUCAGCAUGGACGUCUCGGAGUCCAGUCUCGACUCGGAUUCGGAUGCAGAUUCGCUGCCCGACGAGGACUCAGACUCAGACGUCGCUGGCCCACUGCUCUCGGAGGAAGAGAGGUGGGGUGAGGCCAGCAAUGACGAGGACGACCCCAAGGAGAAGGCGCUUCCUGAAGACCCGGAGACCUGCCUGCAGCUGAACAUGGUCUACCAGGAGGUGGUCCGGGAGAAGCUGGCAGAGGUCAGCCUGCUGCUGGCCCAGAACCGGGAGCAGCAGGAGGAAAUCAUGGGCGACCUCGCAGGUGUCAAGGGCCCCAAGGUGAAGGAUGGCAGGAGCCCGCCCCCGAACCUGUACCUCGGACACUUCAUGAAGCCCUACUUCAGGGACAGGGUCACAGGAGUGGGUCCUCCUGCCAACGAGGACACGCGGGAGAAGGCUGCCCAGGGCAUCAAGGCUUUCGAGGAGCUCCUGGUGACCAAGUGGAAGACCUGGGAAAAGGUCCUGCUCAGGAAGUCGGUGGUGAGUGACCGCCUGCAGCGGCUGCUCCAGCCCAAGUUGCUCAAGCUGGAGUACUUGCAGCAGAAGCAGAACAGGGCCGCGAGCGAGCUGGAGAGGCGGGUCCUGGAGAAGCAGGCCAGGGAGGCGGAGAAGGAGGUGCAGGACAUCAAUCAGCUCCCGGAGGAGGUCCUGCUAGGUGACAGGCUGGACGGCCAUGACUGGGACAAGAUCUCCAACGUCAACUUCGAGGGAAGCCGCAGCACGGAGGAGAUUCGCAAGUUCUGGCAGAACUACGAGCACCCGAGCAUCAACAAGCAGGAGUGGAGCGAGCAGGAGGUGGCCCAGCUGAAGGCCGUCGCAGCCAAGCACGGCCACCUGGACUGGCAGAGGAUCGCCGAGGAGCUGGGGACGCGCCGCAGCGCCUUCCAGUGCCUGCAGCAGUACCAGCAGCACAACCCGGCCCUGAAGCGCAAGGAGUGGACGGAGGAGGAGGACCGCAUACUCACGCGGCUCGUGCAGGCCAUGCGCGUUGGCAGCCACAUCCCCUACCGGAGGAUUGUCUACUACAUGGAGGGGCGGGACUCCAUGCAGCUCAUCUACCGCUGGACCAAGAGCCUGGACCCCGGCCUGAAGAAGGGGCUCUGGGCCCCAGAGGAGGACGCGAAGUUGCUGCAAGCAGUUGCCAAGUAUGGGGAGCAGGAUUGGUUUAAAAUCCGGGAAGAGGUGCCAGGUAGGAGCGAUGCCCAGUGCCGAGAUCGAUAUCUCAGAAGGUUACAUUUCAGCUUGAAAAAGGGACGAUGGAAUCCUAAAGAAGUGGAGAAGUUAAUUGAAUUGAUAGAAAAAUACGGUGUUGGUCACUGGGCAAAGAUAGCCUCUGAACUACCCCAUCGGUCAGGCUCCCAGUGCCUGAGCAAAUGGAAGAUCAUGGUCAGGCAGCGGCAGCGGCAGGCCCGGCGGCGGGCCCCUCGCAGGGCGCGCUGGAGCCCCAGCAGCGGGAGCAGCAGCGACGGCAGCUGGGAGGACUCAGAGCCCGAGGAGGCCCCGAAGGACGCCCCAGAGGAGGCCCCGGCGGGCAGCCCGGAGCCGCCACCAGCUCCGUACACCGUGCCGGACAUGGACCUGUGGGUGCCCGCCCGGCAGAGCCCGGAGGAGCUGUGGGGAGCGGGCGCUGGGGGCUGCCCAUGCCCUCCCGAGGGCCCCAACACGGCCCCGGCCACGGCCCCAGCCCCAGCCCCCGCAGGGCAGCUGGCCUCCAGGGGGUGGAGCACCAACCCAAGGAGCAUCAGGUGCCUGUGCCCGGCCAUCGCUCGCCACUGGAGCUCCGAGGGGCCACCGGGCGAGGAGAGGCCUGGCUCAGCCCUGGGGCCCAGCCCUGGCAGCAGCAGCAGGGACGAGGCCAGGCCCCGCAUGCGGCCACCAUGGGCCGGGACCGUGCAGCAGCGCCAGGGACACGCCCUGCAGUGGAGGCUCCUGGAGCACAAGCUGCUGACGGCCGUGAGCCCGUGGGUGGGAGAGGUGGACCUGCUGUGCGCGCGCCCGAGGCCCGCCGUGCGGCCACGUCGAGCUGAUGGCAUCAGGAGACAGCUGCAGGGCGCCCACUUGGCCAGCACCCCAGUGUUCGCCCUCUUCAUUCAGCUGUUCCAGAUUGACACGCCUGGCUGCGUGGAGGUGGUCCGAGAGAGGAAGACUUGGCCGCCUUCCCUGCUCCAAGCUGGGGCCUGGGACCCGCCGCCUCUGCAGGAACCCUCGAGCGCCCACAGCACCCCAGGCUGCCUCACCCAGAGCGUGCCGGCCCAAGGGGCCGCGAAGCAGGGCACCUGUCCUGAGGUGGGCAAAGGGAUGCAGGCCUGCCGCGCAGCGUCCACGCCCCCAGCGCCCGCCCCGGCCCCGUGCAAACCCCGGCCCAAGCCCAAGACGGUGUCUGAGCUGCUUCGGGAGAAGCGUCUGCGGGAGGCCCGAGCCAGGAGGGCCGCGCAGGGCCCCACCAUCCUCCCGGCCCGCGUGCUGGUCUCCUCGCCCGUGGUCCUCCAGCCGCUGGCCCCCCCAGCCGCCCCAGUCCCCAGCGUCAUGCUGUCCGGGCCUGGAGGCCCUCUGGUGACCAGUUUCACUGCUUCGGGCUCCUGGGCGCCAGCCAAGGAUGAGCAAGCCCUGACUCUGCAUGCCUUUGCCCUCGGCCCGGCCGCCUCCAGGGCCCCCAGCCCGGUUCCUGCGAGCUGCCCGCUGAGUGCUCUUGGACAGUCUCAGGUCCCUGCCACGUCCCGGAAGCAGGGCCUGCCCGAAGUGCCCCCCUUUCUGCCCGCGGCCCCCAGCCCCGUCCAGCUGCCUGUCCAGUCUCUCAGCCUGACGCCAGCCCUGGGCACGCCCGCGGCAGCCAGCACGUCUCUGCCCGUCACCUGGGUCCUCACAGCACAGGGGCUGCUCCCUGUACCCCUGCAGGCCGUGAUGAGCCUGCCAACGCCGACAGGGGCUCCUGACCCCACACGGCUGUCGGUGACUCUGCCGCCCUCGCCCACUGAGACCCCAGCCAGCCGGGGCCCCGGGUUCCCUGAGCAGAGCCGCCCUGGGCCGCCAGCAGCCAGCACAGACUCGGAGCCAGAGCCUCCCUGCAGGACGGAGCCCUUGAAUGAGAGCCCCGCAGAGGUGGCCAAGGCCUGUGGCCUCGCGGGACUCGCCUCCCCUGGGGAGGCCCUGGCGGCUGGGGAGACAUCUGCACCCACGACUCCCUCCCAGGAAACACCCCUGGCCCACCACCCGGUGACCGGGCCCCCUAGCUCCAGCCCACCGCCUCUGCACGGGGCCCCAGGGGCUGCCUCAGGGCCCGGGGAGCCCCGGCCUCGGGACCUGGAGGAGCCCCCGCUCUCCUGGCUGGGGCUGGAGAACAAAGCCCUGGACUUGAGCCUCCUUUCCCAGGAGAGCGAGGCCGCUGCGCGGGAGUGGCUGCAAGGGCAGCGAGGGGUGCCCGCACCCGCCCCGGGGAGCCGGCUGGCCUACCAGCCGCCCAUGCUGUGCAGCCUGCGGGCGCUGUCCGGCCUCCUGCUGCGCAAGAAGGACUUGGAGCAUGGGGCCGCGGUCCUGGCGCCCGGCGGGCCGGCCGGCGCCCUGCAGGCCUCGCUGGGGCGGGUGCGCGAGCGGCUCCGCGACAGCCCGGCCUACCUGCUGCUGCGGGCGCGCUUCCUGGCCGCCUUCGCCCUGCCCGCGCUCCUGGCCACCCUGUCCCCCCGCGGCGUCCCCACCACCCUGUCGGUGAGCACUGGGCCGGACCCUGAGACAGACAGUGACCAGCUCGACCCGGAGGAGCCAGAGCUCACCGACAGUGACGGGGACGCCGGGGACCCCGCCCAGACAAGAACCCGGAUACAGACACGGGAAGGAGUCCCUGGUCCCCUCAGAACACGGAGGGCCCUCGGGUCCCUUGCGGGCGUUGACCCUUCCAGAGAACCCCCCGGAGCAGCCCAUCCCCGUCACGUGGGGGUGACCACAGCAGUGAGGCUUGCUGCUGGAUCUGUGGCCCCCCACACCCCCCACAGCUCGGCCUAGCCCACUUCCCUUUCCCGGGGUACAGCCUUAGAAGUCUGGAGGGUCUUCCAGGCUGAAACAAAGGGCAAGCUCUGCUGGCCUCCAGAUACUGAGGGGAGGAGACCCGCUGUCCCCAGCGGCGUGGGCAGCUUCCCUCGGGCCCUGGCCCAGCUGGGGGAACCAUGGUAUAGGAGGCUUGCUCUCGGGGGGCUGCUCAGCGGGGAUCGGAGUCCCCAAGUGAAGGAGGGGUCAGCAGGAAGUCAGAGCCCCAUGUGGCCCCAGGAAGACGGCACCUCCCGUCAAGCUCCAGUGGGGACACGCCCAAGGAGCUGCCUGCUCCUCCCUGCCCUGCUGCCCAUCCAUCUAGGCUGGAGGGUCACUCUCAUCCUCUGCCUGGACUUUAGGGAGCCCCGGACCCCAGCCAGGGCUCUGCCCCUUCCUGCCCAGACAGCCCCGACGACCCAGACGUGCUGCAGACACGGCGCUCGAGGCACGUCCGCAAGCGGCGGCGGCUGCAGUGAGCCGCAGGACUGCCCAGGGCCGGCCAGCCAGUGCAGCUGACAGGCAGGGGGCCCGUGCUGGACCCGGGCGAGCCUACCGGGAGGAACGCUCCGCCAUCAGUGACUGCAUCGUCCCAGCUCAGCUGGGCCCCUAGGGCACCCAGAAUGCUGGAAGGAAUAAAGAAAUGUCCUGUUUGUGAUUAAAAGCAAA